rnacentral:ncRNA from 1 species
ACAAAGGCAUUGAGUAGAAGUAGUAGGAAUUUAUGAAAUUUACAGAGAGCCAAAGUAUGGUGUGAUUUGGCAGUGGAUGAAUCUGAACUUGUCUAGGAGCUGUUUACCUAGGGUAAAACGUUAGUCUACGUUAUAAGGCAUACAGUUUUAACUGUUACAGAGUGGGCUUUUUAUAAGCUAACUAGAGUGGUACCGCGAGAAUACAACCUCGUCUCUAAU